UACAGAGGGUGCGAGCGUUAAUCGGAAUUACUGGGCGUAAAGCGCGCGUAGGCGGCUUUGCAAGUCGAGUGUGAAAUCCCCAGGCUCAACCUGGGAACUGCAUUCGAGACUGCAUAGCUAGAGUAUGGGAGAGGGAAGUGGAAUUUCAGGUGUAGCGGUGAAAUGCGCAGAUAUCAGGAGGAACACCAGUGGCGAAGGCGGCACUCUGGGCCGGUACUGACGCUGAGGAGCGAAAGCGUGGGGGAGCGAACAGGG
rnacentral:rRNA from 1 species